UGGUUGCUCAACAUGACAAUCUCUGUGGACGAGGACCUGCUCCAUAUGAAGUUAUAAACAGCUCAUUCUAAGAUGUGUGUGUCCUGCAGGUUACGCCACAUUUUCUUCCCUGUUGCUUGGUCAAGGAACUCUCUAAAGGCUCAUGACGGAUGCAGAAAGACACAGUGGUACAGGGUGAGUUGGGCAUAUGCCAUGUGUCUCCACUGAGGCGGACGGCGCCUGCGGGGUCCUGACACGUCUGCCGGAUGUCAUACGACAGGUUGUCGGCCAGGCAGGGGUCUG